GCGCCCGUAGCUCAGUUGGAUAGAGCGCUAGCCUCCGGAGCUAGAGGUCAUGGGUUCGAACCCCGUCGGGCGCG
rnacentral:tRNA from 1 species